rfam:Pichia membranifaciens NRRL Y-2026 unplaced genomic scaffold PICMEscaffold_5, whole genome shotgun sequence.
GUCGACGUACUUCAUAGGAUCAUUUCUAUAGGAUUCGUCUCUCUUUGACUCUUCUAAAGAGCCACUGUUUCCAACUUGGUUGAUGAGAUAGAACCCCCAUACCCUCAAAGUGAGAAUAGUGUCUGGCAUGUCCAGCACCACCCUUCGGGGUGGUGUAUUGCCGGAUUAGUGAUCUGUCAUUACAGCUUUGCCUACGAUUCUUUGCAAUCUAGUCAUCUGGACGUUUCACGAACCACCUAUUCACUUUUUAUUCCUUUUUUCAUCAGGCAAACAAAGGAGCGAUGAUCUUUAUCUCGUGGUGUGUACUUCUUCGGAAUUGACACGUCGGGAUGGGAAUGGGUGGCUGUCUGACAAGU